rnacentral:sRNA from 1 species
GCUGGGCAUGGUGGCGCACGCCUGUAGUCCCAGCUACUCGGGACGCUGAGGCAAGAGAAUUGCUUGAACCCAGGAGGCGGAGGUUGCAGUGAGCCAAGAUCGUGCCAUUGCACUCCAGCCUGGGUAACAAGAGUGAAACUCUGUCUCAAAAAAAAAAAAGUUUCUCUUUAAUUUUUUUUUUUUUUUUUUUUGGAGACUGGGUCUUGCUCUGUCACCCAGCCUGGAGUGCAGUGGCGUGAUCUCAGCUCACUGCAACCUCUGCCUCCUGGGUUCAAGCAAUUCUCUGUCUCAG